UACGGGAGAGGAGAGCGGAAUUCUCGGUGUAGCGGUGAAAUGCGCAGAUAUCGAGAAGAACGCCAGCGGCGAAGGCGGCUCUCUGGAACGAUACUGACGCUGAGGCACGAAAGCUGGGGUAGCGAAGAGGAUUAGAUACCCUCGUAGUCCCAGCCGUAAACGAUGUGCACUUGGUGUGGGUGGGUUUGUCCCCAUCCGUGCCGGAGUUAACGCGUUAAGUGCACCGCCUGGGGAGUACGGUCGCAAGGCUAAAACUCAAAGGAAUUGACGGGGGCCCGCACAAGCGGUGGAGCAUGUGGCUUAAUUCGAUGCAACGCGAAGAACCUUACCAGGGUUUGACAUGGCGACUCUUCGGAGGUGGGAGUGAAAGCUCCCUUUACGAUCACAGGUGCUGCAUGGCUGUCGUUAGCUCGUGCCGUGAGGUGUUGGGUUAAGUCCCGCAACGAGCGCAACCCUUGUGAAUAGUUGCCACUUCGUCUUCGGACGGAAGCACUCUAUUCAGACUGCCGGUGACAAGCCGGAGGAAGGUGGGGAUGACGUCAAGUCAGUAUGGCCCUUAUACCCUGGGCUGCACACGUGCUACAAUGGGUGGUACAACAGGAAGCUAAGCCGCGAGGUGUAGCAAAUCCCUAAAACCAUCCCCAGUUCGGAUCGAAGUCUGCAACUCGACUUCGUGAAGCCGGAAUCGCUAGUA
rnacentral:rRNA from 1 species